rnacentral:lncRNA from 1 species
GGGAGAAAUUAGAAAUGUAGUUUUUGUUUUGAAUCCCUUGAAAAACUACAGUGACAUAGGAUUUACAUUGCACCUCCUAACUCUUCCAUUGGCUGUCAACAAUCUUUAGGGACUGGUUUCAACCGUCAUCUGUUACCGGGCAGAAAAUUAUGGCUCAGUCAAUCACUGGCCAGUCUGAGGAGAGGUGUCUUAUGACUCGCAUGCACGUGACUUUGUUGUUUUUUUAUUUUUCUUCUGGGAUGAAUACCUAUUGCCCGGUUGUAAAAGUAUCGCAAUUUUACGUAAAAAAAUACCCUAAAGGAUUGAUUGUAAACAUCGUUUGAUGUGUUUCUACAAACGGAAAUGGAACUUUGAACAUUUCGAAUAUGGAUUUGCGUCCACACCACAUGGCAUUGUAAAGUGUUCUGGAUGGGUCAACAAAACGGACGUAUUUGGACAUAAAUGAUGGACUUUGCAGAACAAAUGAACAUUUCUUGUGGAAGUGGGUGCCCAUCCGAGUGCAUUCCGCCAAAGACCAGCAAAGACAUAUCAGUGUGGAUGACGGAUCACCAGCUCAAGCUGAACCU